CAGCAGCCGCGGUAAUACGUAGGGUGCGAGCGUUAAUCGGAAUUACUGGGCGUAAAGCGAGCGCAGACGGUUACUUAAGCAGGAUGUGAAAUCCCCGGGCUCAACCUGGGAACUGCGUUCUGAACUGGGUGACUAGAGUGUGUCAGAGGGAGGUAGAAUUCCACGUGUAGCAGUGAAAUGCGUAGAGAUGUGGAGGAAUACCGAUGGCGAAGGCAGCCUCCUGGGAUAACACUGACGUUCAUGCUCGAAAGCGUGGGUAGCAAACAGGAUUAGAUACCCUGGUAGUCCACGCCCUAAACGAUGUCAAUUAGCUGUUGGGCAACUUGAUUGCUUAGUAGCGUAGCUAACGCGUGAAAUUGACCGCCUGGGGAGUACGGUCGCAAGAUUAAAACUCAAAGGAAUUGACGGGGACCCGCACAAGCGGUGGAUGAUGUGGAUUAAUUCGAUGCAACGCGAAGAACCUUACCUGGUCUUGACAUGUACGGAAUCCUCCAGAGACGGAGGAGUGCCUUCGGGAGCCGUAACACAGGUGCUGCAUGGCUGUCGUCAGCUCGUGUCGUGAGAUGUCGGGUUAAGUCCCGCAACGAGCGCAACCCUUGUCAUUAGUUGCCAUCAUUUAGUUGGGCACUCUAAUGAGACUGCCGGUGACAAGCCGGAGGAAGGUGGGGAUGACGUCAAGUCCUCAUGGCCCUUAUGACCAGGGCUUCACACGUCAUACAAUGGUCGGUACAGAGGGUAGCCAAGCCGCGAGGUGGAGCCAAUCUCACAAAACCGAUCGUAGUCCGGAUUGCACUCUGCAACUCGAGUGCAUGAAGUCGGAAUCGCUAGUAAUCGCAGGUCAGCAUACUGCGGUGAAUACGUUCCCGGGUCUUGUACACACCGCCCGUCACACCAUGGGAGUGGGGGAUACCAGAAGUAGGUAGGGUAACCGCAAGGAGCCCGCUUACCACGGUAUGCUUCAUGACUGGGGUGAAGUCGUAACAAGGUAGCCGU
rnacentral:rRNA from 1 species